AGUGAACGCUGGCGGUAUGCCUAACACAUGCAAGUCGAACGGCAGCACAGUAAGCGCUUGCUCUUACGGGUGGCGAGUGGCGGACGGGUGCGGAAUACAUCGGAAUCUACUUUUUCGUGGGGGAUAACGUAGGGAAACUUACGCUAAUACCGCAUACGACCUACGGGUGAAAGCACGGGAUCUUCGGACCUUGCUCGAUUGAAUGAGCCGAUGUCGGAUUAGCUAGUUGGCGGGGUAAAGGCCCACCAAGGCGACGCUCCGUAGCUGGUCUGGGAGGAUGAUAAGCCACACUGGAAGUGAGACACGGGCCAGACUCCUACGGGAGGCAGCAGUGGGGAAUAUUGGACAAUGGGCGCAAGCCUGAUCCAGCCAUACCGCGUGGGUGAAGAAGGCCUUCGGGUUGGAAAGCCCUUGGGUUGGGAAAGAAAAGCAGCAGGUUAAGACCCCGCUGUUCUGACGGUACCCAAAGAAUAAGCACCGGCUAACUUCGUG
rnacentral:rRNA from 1 species